UACGUAGGGUGCGAGCGUUAAUCGGAAUUACUGGGCGUAAAGCGUGCGCAGGCGGUUUUGUAAGUCAGAUGUGAAAUCCCUAGGCUCAACCUAGGAACUGCGUCUGAUACUGGAUGGCUUGAAUCCGGGAGAGGGAUGCAGAAUUCCAGGUGUAGCGGUGAAAUGCGUAGAUAUCUGGAGGAAUACCGGUGGCGAAGGCGGCAUCCUGGACCGGCAUUGACGCUGAGGAGCGAAAGCCAGGGGAGCAAACGGG
rnacentral:rRNA from 1 species